UGUGGGUGCGAUUAGGUGGGUUGUUUUGUUUUGAGUCGUACAGUGUCUUAUCAAAAUUCUUGGGAAAAGCGCAACAAUUCACAAGGAAAGUAUUUCAAUAUGGGCUCGUCACUAAAACCUCUCUGAACAAAUAUAAGCCGGAAAUUUGAAAGCCCGGAAAGAGGCGCGGGACGCCAUAGUUUCAACAAGACGGUCUCGUCCCUUAUCGAAUCGCCAGCACUCCUUAUCGUUCCCCUCACAGUGAAUGAUUGCCUCAAAGGUGAGGGUUUGUGUGAUAAGGAAUCACAAUAAAACAAAGCGAUCUUGUCGUACGACCUCACAGUUGAUUGUGCGAAGUUGCUGAAGAAGAAGUGAUUAUAUACAAAGUUUCAGGUGCUCCAAAACUUUCCCCUCAAAAGCUAUCGCUAUACCUACAAUGGAAAGCUCAAAGAAUGAAAGUUCAACCCCAACACCAGCAGCAGUUGCAUUCAGUCCAGCUGCCUUUUCUGCUGCUUCUUUCACAGUUCAACCAACAAAUACGACAAAAAUGCAAAAAGCCAAACCGAGCAACGUAAUCAAGUCUCCAAAUGUUUGCGAACCCGGCUAUCGCCUCAAUUCACGCGGGGAAUGCAAGCCCAUCUUCUAAAAAAAAGGAUCCUCUGGGAUCCUUUUCCCCCUGACACCGAGUCAACGCGUGCUUCCCACCGUAGACGACGCAGAAAAGUUCUUUUUUCUUCAUCAACAAAUUUUUUUUUAGUAAAAAUGCUCAAAUUUUAUAAAUUUUGGCGAAUCUUUUAUCUUUAGGGCGCGCGAUUGGAGGUGGAAUGAAGUUGGUUAGAGCUUAGAUAAGAUUUAUAAGUAUUGUCUAUUAUAUAAUCUCACUUUUUUUGCUUUAUAUCUAUUGUAAACACAUGAAAUUGUAUUAAAUUGAUGUUUAACAAAUUAA